UUAAAAAUAAGCUAAUUUAAGCUUUUGGGCUCAUACCUCAAAUAUAAAGAUCUCCUUUUUUUUAAA
rnacentral:tRNA from 1 species